rnacentral:rRNA from 1 species
AAACUCAAAUGAAUUGACGGGGGCCCGCACAAGCGGUGGAGCAUGUGGUUUAAUUCGAUGCAACGCGAAGAACCUUACCUGGUCUUGACAUCCACGGAAGUUUUCAGAGAUGAGAAUGUGCCUUCGGGAACCCUGAGACAGGUGCUGCAUGGCUGUCGUCAGCUCGUGUUGUGAAAUGUUGGGUUAAGUCCCGCAACGAGCGCAACCCUUAUCCUUUGUUGCCAGCGGUCCGGCCGGGAACUCAAAGGAGACUGCCAGUGAUAAACUGGAGGAAGGUGGGGAUGACGUCAAGUCAUCAUGGCCCUUACGACCAGGGCUACACACGUGCUACAAUGGCGCAUACAAAGAGAAGCGACCUCGCGAGAGCAAGCGGACCUCAUAAAGUGCGUCGUAGUCCGGAUUGGAGUCUGCAACUCGACUCCAUGAAGUCGGAAUCGCUAGUAAUCGUGGAUCAGAAUGCCACGGUGAAUACGUUCCCGGGCCUUGUACACACCGCCCGUCACACCAUGGGAGUGGGUUGCAAAAGAAGUAGG